rnacentral:snRNA from 1 species
AGCUUUGCACAGUGGCAGUAUCAUAACCAAGGAGGUUUAUCCGAGGCAUGAUUAUUGCUAAGAAAUUAUAUUAUCAUCAGCUCUUUCCAUAACAAAUCUUUAUGUCAGAAGACCAUUGAGACUAAAGAGUAUGAGAUGGAAUCCAGGAAUUUUAUAACAAGCAAAAGUGCC